CCUACGGGAGGCAGCAGUGGGGAAUAUUGCGCAAUGGGCGAAAGCCUGACGCAGCGACGCCGCGUGAGGGAUGAAGGUCUUCGGAUCGUAAACCUCUGUCAGCAGGGAAGAACGGUCACUGUGCUAAUCAGCAGUGAAUUGACGGUACCUGCAAAGGAAGCACCGGCUAACUCCGUGCCAGCAGCCGCGGUAAUACGGAGGGUGCGAGCGUUAAUCGGAAUUACUUGGCGUAAAGCGCUCGUAGGCGGUAUGUCAAGGCAAGGGGUAAAUCCCCGCGCUCAACGUGGGAACUGCCUUUGAAACUGGCAAACUGGAGUGUGUGAGAGGAUAGUGGAAUUCCAGGUGUAGGAGUGAAAUCCGUAGAUAUCUGGAGGAACAUCAGUGGCGAAGGCGACUAUCUGGCACAUAACUGACGCUGAGGAGCGAAAGCGUGGGUAGCAAACAGGAUUAGAUACCCCUGUAGUC
rnacentral:rRNA from 1 species